rnacentral:rRNA from 1 species
AGAGUUUGAUCCUGGCUCAGGAUGAACGCUAGCUACAGGCUUAACACAUGCAAGUCGAGGGGCAGCGGGUUGAAAGCUUGCUUUCAAUGCCGGCGACCGGCGCACGGGUGCGUAACGCGUAUCAAACCUGCCUCAUACUCGGGGAUAGCCUUGCGAAAGUAAGAUUAAUACCCGAUGUUAUUAGUUCACCGCAUGGUGGAUUAAUCAAAGAUUUAUCGGUAUGAGAUGGUGAUGCGUCCGAUUAGGUAGUAGGCGGGGUAACGGCCCACCUAGCCUUCGAUCGGUAGGGGUUCUGAGAGGAAGGUCCCCCACACUGGAACUGAGACACGGUCCAGACUCCUACGGGAGGCAGCAGUGAGGAAUAUUGGUCAAUGGACGAAAGUCUGAACCAGCCAAGUAGCGUGCAGGAUGACGGCCCUCCGGGUUGUAAACUGCUUUUAGUUGGGAAUAAAAAAAGGGACGUGUCCCUUAUUGUAUGUACCUUCAGAAAAAGGACCGGCUAAUUCCGUGCCAGCAGCCGCGGUAAUACGGAAGGUCCAGGCGUUAUCCGGAUUUAUUGGGUUUAAAGGGAGCGUAGGCGGACUGUUAAGUCAGCGGUUAAAGAGUGUGGCUCAACCAUACGAUGCCGUUGAAACUGGUGGUCUUGAGUGCACACAGGGAUGCUGGAACUCGUGGUGUAGCGGUGAAAUGCUUAGAUAUCACGAUGAACUCCGAUCGCGAAGGCAGGUGUCCGGGCUGCAACUGACGCUGAGGCUCGAAAGUGUGGGUAUCAAACAGGAUUAGAUACCCUGGUAGUCCACACAGUAAACGAUGAAUACUCGCAGUUUGCGAUACACAGUAAGCUGCCAAGCGAAAGCAUUAAGUAUUCCACCUGGGGAGUACGCCGGCAACGGUGAAACUCAAAGGAAUUGACGGGGGCCCGCACAAGCGGAGGAACAUGUGGUUUAA